CUGAAUUCCAUCAAACGAAGAAACAAGAACUGAGCUGAGAGGUUUCACAGCGAAGACUGAAGUCGCCACCAAAUAUCGGCACUUUCUUUCCGGCGUUGCUUCCACAGUUGAAUGCUCAAGUUUUGGACUGGAUCAGAGACAACUUAAAGAAGGCUACUCGCUGUUAUAAUAGAGCAUCUUUUUGUGUUAUCUUAACAAGUUACAAGUUGUGUCCCAACCCCUUUUCCUUCCCCAAUCUUCUCUUUUUCCUUUUUCAUCUCCAACCCGUCCCCUUUCCCUCCCUCGGCCCAACCCUUCUCCUUCCCUUUUUGCUUCCCCAACCUGACGCCCUUCUUCUUUUCCUUCCUCUUCUACUUUCCCAAUCUGAGGUCUUUUUCCUUCUCCUUCUCCUUUCUAUUCUGAUGUCCUCCCCCUUCCCAACCAUACUCCCACACUCACAAGAGCUCUUUUCAACCUUCGCUGUCGCCGCUUCUCGCCGGCAUCUGUUUCAGUCCCCUAAGCUUUUUUUUUUUUUUUUUUUUUCAAAAUGAUGCCAUUUUAAGGUUUCGAUGAACGAAAAAUGCUUUAGGAACUACUGAGUCCCGGAGUGCAAUUUCGAAGAUAAAUUUGGAUAAUUAUUAACUUCAGAAAUUACUUUGAAGCUCGAGUGCAACUUUAGGGACUACUUAAGUAUUCUCUCUUGUCAUGACUAGAAUAAAGAUAAAAUGAUCUAUAUUGUUGUCUUUUAUUUAUUUACGUAAGUAGAUGGUCUCAUUAAUAAUUUCA